UGCUAAUUCUGAAUGAAUGGGGCACCAUCUUGGAAUGCUUGUUUUCUUAAUACAUCAAUGAUUUACGGCACAUAGUCUCAACCAGUGGUAAAUGUAUUUUUUUAUUGACUGGCUAGAAUGUACAUAUGUAAAUUUCAGUGUACUGUGCCAUGUAGGAAGCUGAAGUUGGGGGAGCUUCGGUUUUACAGUGUAUUUUUGCAUCGAAGGUUAAAGUAGUAUCUAUAUAUAUUUUUCUGUGCUUUUUAUACUUUUUAGUUGAAUUUGAAAACCUUCUAUACAAGUAUUUCUUGUUUUAUCAUGGUUGUACUACUGUCCUUACUGGUAAAAUCUUAAAUAGGUCAUCAUUUUAACAAUUUAACAACAGUUUAUGGACAGCCUGGAUGCUGACCCUGAACUGGACAAUGGAGAUUCAUUAUAGUCAUAGAGGGAUCCGUGCUCAUACUGUAACUAGGAUUAACCUAAACUUUUCUUCUGUCUUGAGUUGAAGAGGACAAAGCUCUGUUUUUUCUUGAUAAAACUGAAUAGUGUUUUACAUUGAAAAACCCAAUUCCAAACAACACAGGCAAGCUGAACCCAAGUUUCACAGAGAGAAUCAGAACUGUUGAAAGAGCUGGGAAGAAUAAAAUCUCUGACUGAAUGGGUUUUGAACACAAUGUCAAGCAAACAGUCAUUCUCGUACUGGAGUUGUUUUCAAAAAGGACAAUAUUGACUUGACAUUUUCAGGAUUUGAUAAUUACCCUUUACAUUACCAUCUGCAAUGGCAGCUGAAAUUAACAGUCAAAGUUAAAGUCUCUCUCCACCAUCUCAGUUUCCUAUGUACAUUCUGGAAGAGAGAGAAAGAGGAAGAGGUCCGUAGCAGUGUUCCUUCUCCUUUUGUCUUCCACCUGACCUGUCUGAUGGGAGUUGACGUAGAUCACAGCUCACAACUACAAAAAGGAUGGAAAGAGAAGAAGAUGGUGCUGGAGUACAGAGAUAGAAAGUAUCUGUUGGAGGGGAGGUUUUCUCAGAAGGAGGGAAUCAUUCAAUCCAAUACAGCAUUACAGAAAAUGGUAGUCGAGGUGGAUGGAUGGCUAGGGGUGGGGAAUAUGACAGGACCAGCUACAAUCUCUACCUUGCCUUCCCUGCUGGAAUAAAGACAGAAAGGGUAGACAAAGAUGAAAAAGCUUGGGGCAAUUUCAGCAAGAGAGGACACAGUGAUUCUCCUUUUUUCACACAAAUUAUCAAAUGCAUUUACUUUUCCAAGCUUAAACUCAAGUAUAUUGUGACAAUCCUCCAUCUAUGGGCUUUCAUACUUCAUCGCUUCCCCAUGCAGGAGCCUGGAGGGCGGAGUCAGGGUUGUCAAGGAGAAUUUGGCUCACCUGGUCUGACUGCCUGCUACACUAUUCAAGCUUGAACUCUACCCUGUGCUCCACUUCUUCUUUGGUUUGGCUUCUUUUCUGCAUCAUCCCCAUAGCGUAUCUAUCAUUCAUUCAUGUAUCACAGUUAUUACUCCUGUUGCAUACAGGCCUCCUUAUGCACAAGAUAAAAUAGGUUUAGAAAAUUGAUGGAUUAAUAAAGGAACCUGUGUUAAGAAAAUUAAAACUGAUUUGUGUCGCCUGAGUUGUGAAGUUGCUUUGAUCUUAUAUGUUUCAUGCACAUCCAUCAUCAUUCCAAAGCACAAAGCAAGUGCCAUUUACUUGUCAGUAUUAUAUAUGAGUCUAGACUGUACCUCUAAAAAAGAAAAAUAUUUCUCAUUUAAAAACUUAGGAAGCCACUGAAGUUCUUUUGACUUGAUUUAAACUUAAUUAUCUCGUGCCCCUGUACUAUGGAAAAAAUUGGACAUGGACAAUGUCAGACCUUGAGACAGUGUCAGGCCUUUCCUUUAUCAUAUCUUUGUCUGUUUGUUUUCUGUUGUUGUUGUCAAACUUAACCCAGUCUUGCUCUGGGAAUUUUUUUUUACCUUUUAAAAUUACACUAGAGAUCUCCACCGAAAAAACUUUUACAAGCAAAUACUGCUUUUCUAUGGUUUUCUGUUAUUGUUACCUGCUGUACUACAUCAUUGUACUAAUAACAGGAAACCGCAAAUUUGGACAAAUUGGACCUAUCGUUGGGUAAGAAACUGGCAACUCUCAGCUGGAGAUUUAAUGGUUGCUGGCAGAAAACCUGAACAUUUGGCCUGUUUUAAAAGUCUGAGAGGAAGACCUAGAUUUAUGGUGAACAUCUCUUCUAUUUUUGAUUUCAGCAUGUUUGUUUUCAUUUGGCUAUUCUUUAUUACCUUGGCAAUAUUGACAAUUUUACUGUCAGUGUAAUCUGUGUCUCUAUUAUCUGCCAUAAAUACCUCUUAUUUUCAACAUAUUGCCUGAUGUAUUUUUUUCUAGUCUUUACUCAUUGUCUUCUUUCCUUUCACUCUCAGCCCACUCUUCCUCUGCCUCUUUUUCUUAAAGUCUUUUCUCAUCACUUCCCAGCUUUCUGAGAUCUCCAAGUCUGUUUUCUUUGGAGUUUCCUUAGUCCUUUUCCAGUCUCUCCUUUCCUUUUUCAUCAAUCUGGAGCAUUUUCCUUGGACAACGUCCAAGCUGGAUAACAUUUUUCUUUAUUUUUUUCUCCCCUCCCCUUCCAGCUCAGAUGAUCUCGUGUUCACCUCUUUAUAUUUCUUGUUGUUAUUCCUUUCUGCAUCACUUAUCUUAGUCUCUGAUUCUUCACCUCCCUAACCUCUUUCUGACCCCUCUCUCUCUCCUGCUCCUUCUCCUUGUCAGCUUUCAUCUGUCCUUUCUUACCCCUCCUCUCUCUACCUUAAUCUGUCUCCUCUGGGUCACUCUACAUACUGUAAAAUUGCCUUUUUGUGUCUCUCUUAAACAAAGUGCUAAAACACUGCAGAAAAAAAUAACUUUUACUGACUGAAUACACUUUGAUGAUAAGUAUAUUACUCUCUAUUUAUAUAGAUAAAUUGCUAUUAGCUUCCAAGAAUGUAAUUCUUAAGGAAGCAUCUUUCACUGCUGCCACCUUAUUAAAUUGCUCUUGCAACCUACAAUGAAUAAUGAUUAUUUGAAUUCCCAUUUUCUAAUGUCUGCCAUUUUUUGUUAAUAUCAUGAAAGCAUAAUGUGUUAAACAGUUAAACCUUAAGCUGCAUGAAUUCAGAC